UAUGAAUGUUUGGACAGUUAUGGAGAAGGCUUGCAAGUUGUGCAAAUUUGUUUGGACGAUGCGGGUAGUGAUGAAUGCUGUUGGGAGAGAGAUGGAGACACAACUCAACCUACAACUGAUACUACACAGCCAGUUGCAAAUGGAGAUUUGAAUAAAACACAAGAAAUACAGACGCCUGACGAAUUACCAAAUGAGUUAACCAAAGAUGCCGACGUUUCAUCUAAAACUAUAACGGCUAAUGAAUUUCCCAAAACAAUCUCAAGAUCACAUUCUAAAGAAAUUUCAACUUCAGAUGAAAUGGUAUUCGCGGUUACUCCAACAGGAUUGGAACGUAUCAGUUUUGAGAAAUAUUGGCAAGAUUGCGAGAUACAAGUGGAAGAUAAGCCUGUUUGUCGCGAAUACAUAGCGACGAAUC